rnacentral:rRNA from 1 species
CCUACGGGCGGCAGCAGUGGGGAAUAUUGGACAAUGGGCGAAAGCCUGAUCCAGCCAUGCCGCGUGUGUGAAGAAGGCCUUCGGGUUGUAAAGCACUUUCAGUGGGGAAGAAAGCCUUGGGGCUAAUACCCUCGAGGAAGGACAUCACCCAUAGAAGAAGCACCGGCUAACUCCGUGCCAGCAGCCGCGGUAAUACGGAGGGUGCGAGCGUUAAUCGGAAUUACUGGGCGUAAAGCGCGCGUAGGCGGUCUGAUAAGCCGGUUGUGAAAGCCCCGGGCUCAACCUGGGAACGGCAUCCGGAACUGUCAGGCUAGAGUGCAGGAGAGGAAGGUAGAAUUCCCGGUGUAGCGGUGAAAUGCGUAGAGAUCGGGAGGAAUACCAGUGGCGAAGGCGGCCUUCUGGACUGACACUGACGCUGAGGUGCGAAAGCGUGGGUAGCAAACAGGAUUAGAUACCCUAGUAGUC